AUGGCAGGUUCCUCUGCUCCGGUAGCCAUCUCCUUCGCCCAUGUUCAGAUCGCUGAGAAGCUAACCAGGGAGAACUAUCUACCCUGGAAAGCUCAGGUCCUGCCACCGGUCCAAGGUGCCCUUCUCAUGGGUUUCCUUGAUGGAUCGCGUGCAGCACCACCGGAGGAAAUCGAGGAGGCAAAGGCGGACAAGACCGUCGAGAAGGUAUGUAACCCAGCCUAUGCAGCGUGGGUGGCUCAAGACCAGCAGGUUUUGGGCUUUCUGCUCGGGUCUCUUUCCCGAGAGGUGUUGCUGCAGGUGAUGGAUCAUACGGAGAGCAGCAAGCUGUGGGCGGCGAUCCAGGCGAUGUUCGCCUCACAGUCGCGCGCCCGCGUCAUCUAG
rnacentral:rRNA from 1 species